GCGGGUGUCGUAUAACGGCUAUUAUGCCACUCUUCCAAAGUGGAGAUGGGGUUUCGACUACCCCCACCCGCA
rfam:Candidatus Giovannonibacteria bacterium RIFCSPHIGHO2_01_FTLL_48_47 rifcsphigho2_01_scaffold_2710, whole genome shotgun sequence.